rnacentral:rRNA from 1 species
GACGAACGCUGGCGGCGUGCUUAACACAUGCAAGUCGAACGGAAAGGCCCUGCUUUUGUGGUGUGCUCGAGUGGCGAACGGGUGAGUAACACGUGAGUAACCUGCCCUUGACUUUGGGAUAACUUCAGGAAACUGGGGCUAAUACCGGAUAGGAGCUCCUGCUGCAUGGUGGGGGUUGGAAAGUUUCGGCGGUUGGGGAUGGACUCGCGGCUUAUCAGCUUGUUGGUGGGGUAGUGGCUUACCAAGGCUUUGACGGGUAGCCGGCCUGAGAGGGUGACCGGCCACAUUGGGACUGAGAUACGGCCCAGACUCCUACGGGAGGCAGCAGUGGGGAAUAUUGCACAAUGGGCGGAAGCCUGAUGCAGAAACGCAGCGUGCGGGAUGACGGCCUUCGGGUUGUAAACCGCUUUCGCCUGUGACGAGGCGUGAGUGACGGUAAUGGGUAAAGAAGCACCGGCUAACUACGUG